AUUGAACGCUGGCGGCAUGCUUUACACAUGCAAGUCGAACGGUAACAGGUCUUCGGAUGCUGACGAGUGGCGAACGGGUGAGUAAUGUAUCGGAACGUGCCCAGUAGUGGGGGAUAACUACUCGAAAGAGUGGCUAAUACCGCAUGAGAACUGAGGUUGAAAGCGGGGGACCUUCGGGCCUCGCGCUACUGGAGCGGCCGAUAUCAGAUUAGGUAGUUGGUGGGGUAAAGGCCUACCAAGCCGACGAUCUGUAGCUGGUCUGAGAGGACGACCAGCCACACUGGGACUGAGACACGGCCCAGACUCCUACGGGAGGCAGCAGUGGGGAAUUUUGGACAAUGGACGCAAGUCUGAUCCAGCAAUGCCGCGUGCAGGACGAAAGGCCUUCGGGUUGUAAACUGCUUUUGUACAGAACGAAAAGGCUCUGGUUAAUACCUGGGGCUCAUGACGGUACUGUAAGAAUAAGCACCGGCUAACUACGUGCCAGCAGCCGCGGUAAAACG
rnacentral:rRNA from 1 species